CAGGCCUAACACAUGCAAGUCGAACGCACCGCAAGGUGAGUGGCAGACGGGUGAGUAACACGUGACUAACCUACCUUCGAGUGGGGGAUAACCUCGGGAAACCGAGGCUAAUACCGCAUAACAUCGCAAGAUCAAAGCAGCAAUGCGCUGGAAGAGGGGGUCGCGGCAGAUUAGCUAGUUGGCGGGGUAAUGGCCCACCAAGGCAGUGAUCUGUAUCCGGCCUGAGAGGGCGCACGGACACACUGGAACUGAAACACGGUCCAGACUCCUACGGGAGGCAGCAGUGGGGAAUUUUGCGCAAUGGGGGAAACCCUGACGCANCAACGCCGCGUGGAGGAUGAAGUCUCUUGGGACGUAAACUCCUUUCGAUUGGGAAGAUAAUGACGGUACCAAUAGAAGAAGCCCCGGCUAACUUCGUGCCAGCAGCCGCGGUAAUACA
rnacentral:rRNA from 1 species